rnacentral:rRNA from 1 species
ACCUCAAGUCAUGUGAGAGUACCCGCUGAACUUAAGCAUAUCAAUAAGCGGAGGAAAAGAAACUAACAAGGAUUCCCCUAGUAACGGCGAGUGAAGCGGGAAGAGCACAAAUUUUAAAUCUACCUGGUUUUCAGGUUGAGUUGUAAUUUGAGGAUACGUUUUUGAUAUUCCUGGUUGGACUAAAUCCUUUGGGAUAAGGUAUCAUAGAGGGUGAGAAUCCUGUGUAUACCAACCACAGGGAUGUUAUUUAAUAACGUUUCUAAGAGUCGAGUUGUUUGGGAAUGCAGCUCUAAAUGGGUGGUAAAUUUCACCUAAUGCUAAAUAUAAGCGAGAGACCGAUAGCGAACAAGUACAGUGAUGGAAAGAUGAAAAGAACUUUGAAAAGAGAGUUAAAUAGUACGUGAAAUUGUUGAAAGGGAAACGAUUGAAGUCAGUCAUGCCAGCGGGAAUCAACUUAGAGGAAACUCUAGGUGCACUUCUUUGCUUGGCAGGUUAGUGUCGAUUUUGGAUGUCAUAAAAUGACUGGGGGAAGGUAGCUCCUUUGGGAGUGUUAUAGCCCUUGGUAGAUGUGAUGUCUGGGAUCGAGGAUUGCAAUGGAUACCCUUUGGGGCUAGCUGCCUGAUCUCUAAUUGGUAUUGGGUUACGGAUAGCAUGCUGACCGUGAUCUAAUUAUUGGUUAAAAGGUUAGAGCGUGCAUAAAUUCAUUAAGGACGUUGACGUAAUGGCUUUAAACGACCCGUCUUGAAACACGGACCAAGGAGUCUAACAUAUAUGCGAGUGUUA